AGGAAACUGGUUUCAGAUGGUGUCUUAGAGUGUAAAAUCCCAUCUAGCACCAUUUGAAAUCGGUGUUCU
rfam:Oryzias latipes DNA, chromosome5, strain: Hd-rR.